rnacentral:rRNA from 1 species
UGGCUCGAGGACGAACGCUGGGCGGCGUGCCUAACACAUGCAAGUCGAACGGAGUUAAGACGUUCGGGACUCGACUUAGUGGGCGAACGGGUGAGUAACGCGAGAGAAACCCUACCUUCAGGUGGGGACAACAGUUGGAAACGACUGCUAAUACCGCAUGAUGUAUUCGGAGGGCAUCCUUUGAAUACCAAAGCUUUAUGUGCUGAAAGAUGGUCUCGCGUCUGAUUAGCUAGUUGGUGGGGUAACGGCUCACCAAGGCGACGAUCAGUAGCCGGUCUGAGAGGAUGAACGGCCACAUUGGGACUGAGACACCGGACCCAAACUCCUACGGGGAGGCAGCAGGUGGGGAAUAUUGCACAAUGGGGGAAACCCUGAUGCAGCGACGCCGCGUGAGUGAUGAAGUAUUUCGGUAUGUAAAACUCUAUCAGCAGGGAAGAUAAUGACGGUACCUGACUAAGAAGCUCCGGCUAAAUACGUG